rnacentral:rRNA from 1 species
AUUGAACGCUGGCGGCAUGCCUUACACAUGCAAGUCGAACGGCAGCACGGGAGCAAUCCUGGUGGCGAGUGGCGAACGGGUGAGUAAUAUAUCGGAACGUGCCCAGUCGUGGGGAUAACGUAGCGAAAGCUACGCUAAUACCGCAUACUAUCUAUGGAUGAAAGCGGGGGAUCGCAAGACCUCGCGCGAUUGGAGCGGCCGAUAUCAGAUUAGGUAGUUGGUGAGGUAAAGGCUCACCAAGCCGACGAUCUGUAGCUGGUCUGAGAGGACGACCAGCCACACUGGGACUGAGACACGGCCCAGACUCCUACGGGAGGCAGCAGUGGGGGAAUUUUUGGGACAAUGGGCGGCAAGCCUGAUCCAGCAAUGCCGCGUGCAGGAUGAAGGCC